rnacentral:miRNA from 1 species
AGAGGAUUCAUUCAAAUAUUA